rnacentral:hammerhead_ribozyme from 1 species
GCACUUCUGGCGAGUCUCAAACAGGACGAAACAGCUGUCCAGUGC